rnacentral:rRNA from 1 species
AACGAACGCUGGCGGCAUGCCUAACACAUGCAAGUCGAACGAGACCUUCGGGUCUAGUGGCGCACGGGUGCGUAACGCGUGGGAAUCUGCCCUUGGGUUCGGAAUAACAGUUGGAAACGACUGCUAAUACCGGAUGAUGACGUAAGUCCAAAGAUUUAUCGCCCAAGGAUGAGCCCGCGUAGGAUUAGCUAGUUGGUGAGGUAAAGGCUCACCAAGGCGACGAUCCUUAGCUGGUCUGAGAGGAUGAUCAGCCACACUGGGACUGAGACACGGCCCAGACUCCUACGGGAGGCGGCAGUGGGGAAUAUUGGACAAUGGGCGAAAGCCUGAUCCAGCAAUGCCGCGUGAGUGAUGAAGGCCUUAGGGUUGUAAAGCUCUUUUACCCGGGAUGAUAAUGACAGUACCGGGAGAAUAAGCACCGGCUAACUCCGUG